rnacentral:rRNA from 1 species
GACGUAGGGGGCAAGCGUUGUUCGGAAUUAUUGGGCGUAAAGCGCUCGUAGGCGGGACAGGAAGUUCGUGUUGAAAGACCUCGGCUCAACUGAGGGACCGGCUCGAAUACUCUUGUUCUUGAGGCAAUCAGAGGGUGAUGGAAUUCCCGGUGUAGCGGUGAAAUGUGUAGAUAUAUGGAAGAACACCAAUAACGGCGAAGGCAGUUAACUAUUCUGUUACUGACAUUGAGGCACGAAAGCGUGGGGAGCAAAACGG